CAGCCUACGGGAGGUAGCAGUGAGGAAUAUUGGUCAAUGGGCGGGAGCCUGAACCAGCCAAGUCGCGUGAGGGAAGACGGUCCUAUGGAUUGUAAACCUCUUUUGUCGGGGAGCAAAGAGAUCACGUGUGGUCAAAAGCGAGAGUACCCGAAGAAAAAGCAUCGGCUAACUCCGUGCCAGCAGCCGCGGUAAUACGUAUGGGGCAAGCGUUAUCCGGAUUUACUGGGUGUAAAGGGAGCGUAGGCGGCCUGGCAAGCCUGAUGUGAAAUACCGGGGCCCAACCCCGGGGCUGCAUUGGGAACUGC
rnacentral:rRNA from 1 species